UACAGAGGUCUCAAGCGUUGUUCGGAUUCAUUGGGCGUAAAGGGUGCGUAGGCGGCGCGGUAAGUCGGGUGUGAAAUCUUGGAGCUUAACUCCGAAACUGCAUUCGAUACUGCCGUGCUUGAGGACUGGAGAGGAGACUGGAAUUUACGGUGUAGCGGUGGAAUGCGCAGAUAUCAGGAGGAACACCAAUGGCGAAGGCAGCUCGCUGGGACGGUACUGACGCUGGAGACGCGAAAGCGUGGGGAGCGAACAGG
rnacentral:rRNA from 1 species